rnacentral:rRNA from 1 species
CCUACGGGUGGCAGCAGUGGGGGAUAUUGCACAAUGGGGGGAACCCUGAUGCAGCGACGCCGCGUGGGUGAAGGAGUGCUUCGGCAUGUAAAGCCCUAUCGGCAGGGAAGAAGCAAGACGGUACCUGACUAAGAAGCCCCGGCUAACUACGUGCCAGCAGCCGCGGUAAUACGUAGGGGGCGAGCGUUAUCCGGAUUCACUGGGUGUAAAGGGAGCGUAGACGGCCAUGCAAGCCAGGGGUGAAAGCCCGGGGCCCAACCCCGGGACUGCCCUUGGAACUGCAUGGCUGGAGUGCGGGAGGGGCAGGCGGAAUUCCUGGUGUAGCGGUGAAAUGCAUAGAUAUUACACAGAACACCGAUUGCGAAGGCAGCUUGCUAGGCCGGAUCUGACACUGAUGCACGAAAGCGUGGGGAUCGAACAGGAUUAGAUACCCUGGUAGUC